AGCUCCAGAAGCGUAUAUUAAUGUUGUUGCAGUUAAAAAGCUCGUAGUCGGAUUUCGGGGCGGGUCGGUAGGUCUGCCGUAUGGUUUGUACUUUCUGACCCGCUCUUCCUUUCGAGGGCCCUGUGUGCACUUCACUGUGUGGACUGGGAGCUCGGAACUUUUACUUUGAAAAAAUUAGAGUGUUUAAAGCAGGCCAUUGCUCUGAAUACAUUAGCAUGGAAUAAUCGAAUAGGACUCUGGUUCUAUUUUGUUGGUUUAUAGGACUGGAGUAAUGAUCAACAGGGACAGUUUGGGGCGUUCGUAUUUCAUUGUCAGAGGUGAAAUUCUUGGAUUUAUGAAAGACGAACUUCUGCGAAAGCAUUCGUCAGGGAUGUUUUCA
rnacentral:rRNA from 1 species